UAAACGGUUCUUUUCAGAACUACCAAAUUUUUAGACGAAGGAACACU
rfam:Solenopsis invicta Si_gnG.contig87305, whole genome shotgun sequence.